UGGAAGGUUACUCACUCGCAACCCGGAUGUGACGAAUGCGAAGCAAGUUUGCGUAGCGCUACGCUGGCAACGGAUGUGACGACGACGCGGAAUCGAAGCCUGCCCCCACGGCUCACUUGGCGCCGCGCCAGCUCGCGCCGCCGCCGCUACUGCGUCGCGCCCGCCUGCUGUCUUCGCCCUCCGCUCCCGUCCCUCUCCCACCUCACGCAAGCUCCACCCCGCGCAGCACACGGACUCGAGCCGCGACUCGAGCGUCAGGCAACGGGCUCGCCUAUCGACUGCCGGUGGGGCACCGCGACCUGCAAGGAGGAAUCUGAGAAAGAAAUUGCUUCGACGACCGCUCUAGCUGGGCUGAAGCGGCGAGUUGGCGUUGAGAGAAGGCGAGAGAAUAACAGCGACGUGCCCGUUCGAAGCGGCCGAACGCAGGCGGCGGCCCGUCAAAGCACGCUUCCGACUUGGCGGGCGAACACGCGGUCUCGCCUUGGCGUUGCAUCGCCGGAGGCAUCGCAGCGCCUGUCGGACUGGAAAAAGCUGGGAGCACCGUGCAACGCUGCCGAUUGCGUCGGCGAAGUUAGUGUGUGCGCACAGUGUGUGUGUGUGUAGCCGUACCGUCGUCGCCUGCUGCGCACCGAUUCGUCUCUGGUCUCCGCGCUGCAUCGCUGAGCGUCGUCUGCCCCUGCUUUCGCGCGCGGCAUCUCAUCGUCGCCGUGCGAUCCAGAGCAGAUAGGGAGCGACGCGCGAGGUUCUAAUAACGGCUACGCCGACUUCUGUUGACAGUUGAACGCGUGCUGCUAGCUGCACUUCUCGCGGAUUGUGGUCUCGGUCUGCGCGUGGGACGCGUGAGCACAGCCCUUCUACACCUGGAUUCUUUACGGCGCAGCAGCCGACAGCGCCCACGUCGCGGCAACGCUCAGAGGACACCAAGCGCUCCGUGAUAGCCGGACAUAUUUGUGGAAGACAACAUUCCGACAAAUGCGUGAAGGUACCCGAGGAUUCUCGAACGACCACUCGAAUAUUGCCAAGUCAGAACCCCAGGUGUUCAAAAUUAUUUCCUAGCGCUCCAGUACGGCGUCGCCUCAGCGUAGCAUGGAACAUGAAAACCCAUCAGUCAAGCAGUGA